AUUGAACGCUGGCGGCAGGCCUAACACAUGCAAGUCGAACGAGUGGCGGACGGGUUAGUAAUGUCUGGGAAACUGACCGGUGGAGGGGGGUAACUACCGGAAACGGUAGCUAAUACCGCAUACCAUCGGAUGUGCCCAGAUGGGAUUAGCUAGUAGGUGGGGUAAAGGCUCACCAAGGCGACGAUCCCUAGCUGGUCUGAGAGGAUGACCAGCCACACUGGAACUGAGACACGGUCCAGACUCCUACGGGAGGCAGCAGUGGGGAAUAUUGCACAAUGGGCGCAAGCCUGAUGCAGCCAUGCCGCGUGUGUGAAGAAGGCCUUCGGGUUGUAAAGUACUUUCAGCGGGGAGGCGUUACUAGCAGAAGAAGCACCGGCUAACUCCGUGCCAGCAGCCGCGGUAAUUC
rnacentral:rRNA from 1 species